ACCGCUUUUGAGGCUGCCAUUUUAUCAGCGGCAGGUGUUGGCGAAACAUUGGCGAUGGGAAUUUAGCGCCAAAUUGCAAAGAGCUCACAGGGAAAAAAUUAACGAAGAGUAUUGCAUCUGGACAGAAGGAGGCUCAAUCUCAAUGAACAGUUAAGGACACUUCAGUUACAUCAUGAGCUCCUCACAAAUAGCAACUUCAGGCCUCAUCUCAAAUUUGAAGUGGUCCUCACUUCGGAAAAAAGACUCAGAUCUUGCAGCCCUCGACUUAAAUCAUCUGGCCGAUAAAGUCAAUUGGAAAAAGGAUUUAACGGAAUGGCUAGAGACUUAUCUACUUCCUCUGCUCGACCUUUGAUUCUCGGCUUAUCUCGCCUUCUAUUUGUCUGACAUCUCAAAUCAAAAACAUGCCGCGACCUGUAUGUUGACUUUUCCCAUGCUCUGCCAAAUCGCCGAACUGCAAGGUGGCCGUUCCAGUGGGUGUUCGAGCUGUAACGGAUUCGCGUUAUCAACACAAGGAAAAUCUUAUGAUUGCGAUUAAACAGCGAUGGAAUUUCAAAUAGUUGUUUGGAAAAGAAAACGUUUCGAAACUACCUUCUUUUUAAGAAAUAAGCCAACAUAUAUUUGUCUAGUAUUCGCUUAAGUACUGUCUCAUCUAGACCUUAAAAGUACAGGUGUUUACUGUUAUUCUAAAUCUGAUUUGAUUAAUAUUACGUCAUGUUCAUACGCACUUCGUGUAUUGCGUGUAUUAUGUGUAUUACGUAGUCGAUCGUUUUUAGAUUCGUUCAGUUGUACGUAUAUUAUUUUCGUAGAUUAACCGACCUUUAACUUGGCAUUUGAGAAAUUUUUCUUUGAAAGUCUACCAAGAAAACAAACCUUCUCUAACAGAGAGCUAUUAAGUGUUCUAUCAUAUGUACCUUAAAUUAUUUUUUUUUCCUUCCUUUACUUUGCGUAUAUAGCAGCCCAGACGAUAUAGGGGGAGCCUGACUGCGGUACCGAAGGGCCCGGGUUCGAAUCCCGGAGAAGGCAUGGAAUGGCCCCCUAUUCUGACUUUAGGAGCGGCCAGUGCUGUUAUAGGCAAGUGCCCGUUAUUGAAAAAAAAAAAAAAAAAAAAAAAAAAAAAAAAAAAAAA